rnacentral:rRNA from 1 species
CGAACGAGGAUCCAUCAGGCUUUGCUUGGUGGUGAGAGUGGCGAACGGGUGAGUAAUGCGUGACCGACCUGCCCCAUACACCGGAAUAGCUCCUGGAAACGGGUGGUAAUGCCGGAUGCUCCGACUCCUCGCAUGGGGUGUCGGGAAAGAUUUCAUCGGUAUGGGAUGGGGUCGCGUCCUAUCAGGUAGUCGGCGGGGUAACGGCCCACCGAGCCUACGACGGGUAGCCGGCCUGAGAGGGCGACCGGCCACAUUGGGACUGAGAUACGGCCCAGACUCCUACGGGAGGCAGCAGUGGGGAAUAUUGCACAAUGGGCGCAAGCCUGAUGCAGCGACGCCGCGUGCGGGAUGACGGCCUUCGGGUUGUAAACCGCUUUUGAUCGGGAGCAAGCCUUCGGGUGAGUGUACCUUUCGAAUAAGCACCGGCUAACUACGUGCCAGCAGCCGCGGUAAUACGUAGGGUGCAAGCGUUAUCCGGAAUUAUUGGGCGUAAAGGGCUCGUAGGCGGUUCGUCGCGUCCGGUGUGAAAGUCCAUCGCUUAACGGUGGAUCUGCGCCGGGUACGGGCGGGCUGGAGUGCGGUAGGGGAGACUGGAAUUCCCGGUGUAACGGUGGAAUGUGUAGAUAUCGGGAAGAACACCAAUGGCGAAGGCAGGUCUCUGGGCCGUUACUGACGCUGAGGAGCGAAAGCGUGGGGAGCGAACAGGAUUAGAUACCCUGGUAGUCCACGCCGUAAACGGUGGAUGCUGGAUGUGGGGCCCGUUCCACGGGUUCCGUGUCGGAGCUAACGCGUUAAGCAUCCCGCCUGGGGAGUACGGCCGCAAGGCUAAAACUCAAAGAAAUUGACGGGGGCCCGCACAAGCGGCGGAGCAUGCGGAUUAAUUCGAUGCAACGCGAAGAACCUUACCUGGGCUUGACAUGUUCCCGACAGCCGUAGAGAUAUGGCUUCCCUUCGGGGCGGGUUCACAGGUGGUGCAUGGUCGUCGUCAGCUCGUGUCGUGAGAUGUUGGGUUAAGUCCCGCAACGAGCGCAACCCUCGCCCUGUGUUGCCAGCACGUCAUGGUGGGAACUCACGGGGGACCGCCGGGGUCAACUCGGAGGAAGGUGGGGAUGACGUCAGAUCAUCAUGCCCCUUACGUCCAGGGCUUCACGCAUGCUACAAUGGCCGGUACAACGGGAUGCGACACGGCGACGUGGAGCGGAUCCCUGAAAACCGGUCUCAGUUCGGAUUGGAGUCUGCAACCCGACUCCAUGAAGGCGGAGUCGCUAGUAAUCGCGGAUCAGCAACGCCGCGGUGAAUGCGUUCCCGGGCCUUGUACACACCGCCCGUCAAGUCAUGAAAGUGGGUAGCACCCGAAGCCGGUGGC